UACGUAGGGGGCAAGCGUUGUCCGGAUUUAUUGGGCGUAAAGAGCUCGUAGGCGGUUCCGUAAGUCGGGUGUGAAAAAUCUGGGCUCAACCCAGUGGAGCACCCGAUACUGCUGUGGCUGGAGUCCGGUAGGGGAGCAGGGAAUAUCCGGUGUAGCGGUGAAAUGCUUAGAUAUCGGGUGGAACACCAGUGGCGAAGGCGCUGCUCUGGGCCGGUACUGACGCUGAGGAGCGAAAGCGUGGGUAGCAAACAGG
rnacentral:rRNA from 1 species